rnacentral:rRNA from 1 species
AAUCAACGCUGGCGGCGUGCCUCAGACAUGCAAGUCGAACGAUUAAAGCUCUCUUCGGAGAGUGUAUAAAGUGGCGCACGGGUGAGUAACACGUAAGUAAUCUACCUUCGAGUGGGGAAUAACGUCCGGAAACGGACGCUAAUACCGCAUAACGCAGCGGCAUCGCAAGAUGACAGUUGUUAAAGAUUUAUCGCUUGAAGAGGAGCUUGCGGCAGAUUAGCUUGUUGGUAAGGUAACGGCUUACCAAGGCUACGAUCUGUAUCCGGUCUAAGAGGACGGUCGGACACACUGACACUGAAUAACGGGUCAGACUCCUACGGGAGGCAGCAGGUCGGUAAUUUUGGGCAAGUGGGGGAAACCCUGACCCAGCAACGCCGCGUGAAGGAUGAAGU